GGAAUAUUGGACAAUGGGGGAAACCCUGAUCCAGCGACGCCGCGUGGGUGAAGAAGGCCUGCGGGUUGUAAAGCCCUUUCGGUGGGGAAGAAAAGCCUCGACCUAAUACGUCGGGGUCUUGACGUAACCCACAACAGAAGCACCGGCUAACUCUGUGCCAGCAGCCGCGGUAAUACAGAGGGUGCGAGCGUUAAUCGGAAUUACUGGGCGUAAAGGGCGCGUAGGCGGCCUGUUAAGUCGAACGUGAAAUCCCCGGGCUCAACCCGGGAACUGCGUCCGAGACUGGCAGGCUCGAAUCCGGGAGAGGGAUGUGGAAUUCCAGGUGUAGCGGUGAAAUGCGUAGAUAUCUGGAGGAACACCGGUGGCGAAGGCGGCAUCCUGGACCGGCAUUGACGCUGAGGCGCGAAAGCCAGGGGAGCAAA
rnacentral:rRNA from 1 species